UUCCAGCUCCAAUAGCGUAUAUUAAAAGUUGUUGCAGUUAAAAAAGCUCGUAGUUGGAUUUCUGGGAGGGUGCCAAUGUCCGUCGACGUACGUGUUGCAGCGGCGCCUUCCAUCCUUCUGUUAACGGCUCUCGGCAUUUAUUUGCUGGUGUCGGGCUCAGAUAUUUUUACCUUGAGAAAAUUAGAGUGUUUCAGGCAGGC
rnacentral:rRNA from 1 species